rnacentral:rRNA from 1 species
ACGCUCGACACCUACGGGAGGAGCAGUGGGGAAUAUUGCACAAUGGGGGAAACCCUGAUGCAGCGACGCCGCGUGAGUGAAGAAGUAUUUCGGUAUGUAAAGCUCUAUCAGCAGGGAAGAAGAUGACGGUACCUGAGUAAGAAGCCCCGGCUAACUACGUGCCUAGCAGCCGCGGUAAUCUGAGCGGGCUGGCAAGGC